UUUAACUGAAGAGUUUGAUCAUGGCUCAGAUUGAACGCUGGCGGCAGGCUUAACACAUGCAAGUCGAGCGGAGAGAGGUAGCUUGCUACUGAUCUUAGCGGCGG
rnacentral:rRNA from 1 species